rnacentral:rRNA from 1 species
AGCAGCCGCAGUAAUUCCAGCUCCAAUAGCGUAUAUUAAAGUUGUUGCAGUUAAAAAGCUCGUAGUCGAAUUUCGGGGUUAGUAGAUUGGUCAUGCCUCUGGUAUGUACUGGUCUCACUGAUUCCUCCUUCCUGAUGAACCUUAAUGCCAUUAAUUUGGUGUUUUGGGGAAUUUGGACUGUUACUUUAAAAAAAUUAGAGUGUUUAAAGCAAGCUAACGCUUGAAUACAUUAGCAUGGAAUAAUGAAAUAGGACGUUCGAUCCUAUUUUGUUGGUUUCUAGGAUUGACGUAAUGAUUAAUAGGGAUAGUUGGGGGCAUUAGUAUUCAAUUGUCAGAGGUGAAAUUCUUGGAUUUAUUGAAGACUAACUACUGCGAAAGCAUUUGCCAAGGAUGUUUUCAUUAAUCAAGAACGAAAGUUAGGGGAUCGAAGACGAUCAGAUACCGUCGUAGUCUUAACCAUAAACUAUGCCGACUAGGGAUCGGAUGAUGUUAAUUUUUUAAUGACUCA